GAUGAACGCUGGCGGCGUGCUUAACACAUGCAAGUCGAGCGAGAAAAGUUCUUCGGAGCUUUUCUAGCGGCGGACGGGUGAGUAACACGUGGGCAACCUGCCUCAUAGAGGGGAAUAGCCUUCCGAAAGGAAGAUUAAUACCGCAUAAUGUUGUUGAAAGGCAUCUUUUAACAAUUAAAGGAGCAAUCCGCUAUGAGAUGGGCCUGCGGCGCAGUAGUUAGUUGGUGAGGUAACGGCUCACCAAGGCGACGAUGCGUAGCCGACCUGAGAGGGUGAUCGGCCACAUUGGAACUGGGUUACGGUCCAGACUCCUACGGGAGGCUGCAGUGGGGAAUAUUGCACAAUGGGGGAAGCCCUGAUGCAGCAACGCCGCGUGAGUGAUGAAGGUCUUCGGAUUGUAAAUCUCUGUCUUUAGGGACGAUAAUGACGGUACCUAAGGAGGAAGCCACGGCUAACUACGUGCCAGCCGCCGCCGUAAAAC
rnacentral:rRNA from 1 species